GACUCUGUUCAACGGCCGCGGUAUUCUGACCGUGCGAAGGUAGCGUAAUCACUUGUUCUUUAAAUAAGGACUAGUAUGAAUGGCACCACGAGGGUUGCACUGUCUCCCAUCUCUAAUCAGUGAAAUUAAUCUUCCCGUGAAGAAGCGGGAAUAAACAUAUAAGACGAGAAGACCCCAUGGAGCUUUAAACAAAAGGCACAUGCAAACCAAAUCAAGCAUUCUGUCCCCAAGUUUUCGGUUGGGGCGACCACGGAGAACAACACAACCUCCACGCUGAACGAUUAUAUCUUAGCCGUAAUUUACAAAUUUAAGCAUCAGCACCCUGACACCCAUUGACCCAAUACAAUUGAUCAACGAACCAAUGUUACCCUGGGGAUAACAGCGCAAUGUACCUCGAGAGCUCAUAUCGACAGGUGGGUUUACGACCUCGAUGUUGGAUCAGGGUGUCCCAGUGGUGCAGCA
rnacentral:rRNA from 1 species